rnacentral:rRNA from 1 species
UGAGUUUGAUCCUGGCUCAGAAUGAACGUUGGCGGCGUGGAUUAGGCAUGCAAGUCGUACGCACCGCAAGGUGAGUGGCGCAAGGGUGAGUAAGGCGACGGUAACCAACCCCAUGGUUGGGCAUAGCCGGGAGAAAUCCCGGGUAAUUCCCAGCGACGUCGCGGGAUGGCAUUCUCCUGCGACCAAAGGUGCGAUUCCGCCGUGGGACGGGCCGUCGUGGUAUUAGGUAGUUGGCGGGGUAACGGCCCACCAAGCCUUCGAUGCCUACCGGGCGUGCGAGCGUGGCCCGGCACACUGGGACUGAGACACUGCCCAGACUCCUACGGGAGGCUGCAGUCGAGAAUCUUCGGCAAUGGGCGCAAGCCUGACCGAGCGACGCCGCGUGGAGGAUGAAGGCCUUCGGGUUGUAAACUCCUGUCGAGGGGAAGGAAGGGGCCGAAAGGCCCUUGACCGCUCCCUGGAGGAAGCACGGGCUAAGUUCGUGCCAGCAGCCGCGGUAAGACGAACCGUGCGAACGUUAUUCGGAAUCACUGGGCUUAAAGCGCGUGUAGGCGGGGCGGUGCGUCGGUCGCUGAAAUCCCCCGGCUCAACCGGGGAAGGGGCGCCGAUACGACCGGCCUGGAGCGACGUAGGGGGAACUGGAACUUCCGGUGGAGCGGUGAAAUGCGUUGAGAUCGGAAGGAACGCCCGUGGCGAAAGCGAGGUCCUGGACACUUUCUGACGCUGAGACGUGAAAGCCAGGGGAGCAAACGGGAUUAGAUACCCCGGUAGUCCUGGCCGUAAACGAUGAGCACUGGGUAGGGGGCUCGCCGAUGGGCUCCUGCCGCAGG